UACGGCUGCUGUACUCUCGUCCAUGAUCUUCUCCUCUCCGUUAUUCUCUAUUUCUCGGAGACUUUUUGGUGCUUUUGUUGUGCUACGUUCUCCUUCACUGAGUUUUUACAAAGAUGUAUGGUGAUUUUUUUUGGAAAAGGGUGCAGCUUUCUGGCUAGAGUAUUACGGCAGAUGAAAGUUGUAAAUAGGCUAAUUUAUUUUGUUCUCAGUUAGGCUAUGAUGAUAUGGUUUUGGUUUCAUUAGAUGUAUUUCAGGCUUUAAAUUGAUUGCCGUAUCUUGGCGAGGCAACCCUGAUUGCAUUUGAGGUUCAUUCUUCCCUUCAAAUGCAAUGGGUCUGCAGCCAUGGCGGUACUCUCAUCUCUGCCUGACUUUUGCUGACAAACCUGAGCCUUACUUUAAA